rnacentral:misc_RNA from 1 species
AAGUCGUAACAAGGUUUCCGUAGGUGAACCUGCGGAAGGAUCAUUAACACGUUAUCCAUACGUUAACCAAAUGAGAAUUGUUUUCACCCUCCCUUCACGGAGAAUGAGCGGGGUUGGUAGAGGUAAGGAAAGGGAUUGCUUCGGUAAUCUGCCUCUAUUGACUAUUUUUGCGCAACAGAAAUGUUCGUGAAGACGCUGUAUUUCUGCUGGAGAUUAAUCUUGAUCAGAGCUCGCCUUUCUUGAGAGCUGUUCGAGAACUAUAUUAACUUUAUUCACCCUUUUUUGCUAGUUGACUUUUAUAUGUGGAAAGAUGUCUGCACCCUCGAUGGUGUUGUACUUGUUUCCCACGUUCAUUAUUUGAAUGUUAAAAUUACAACUCUUAGCAAUGGAUAUCUUGGUUCUC